ensembl:lncRNA
AUUCAGGGCCCUUCCUCCUUCUCAUACCUUCCUGGCUGCCAUGAGCUACCCUGUGAUGGAGAAAGAUGUUCUACCUCACUUACAUUAUGGCGUUAGUACUCCCUGCCUUGAGAGCAAGCCUACAUAGGUCAUAGAGUGUUCACGGCAGUGAAAAGAACAAGAAGCAGAAAACAUCUCUCAGAAAAAGUGCCUGGAAGGUUACAUAAGAUCACGACUUGGGUCUUGCUGGUCAACUCUCUCCAUUGCCUUCUUGUUUGCACCUUUUGAUGAAAGAAGUUGCCACGUUGGAAAGGCCAUGUGGCAUAGACCUGGGGCUGGCCUCCAGCCAACCUCCAGCCAGCCCUGAGGCUACCAGCCCUGUUAUGAGCCCUGGAGGAGCUACAUCCCACUGCCACCAUCUGAGGUGCAAAGCAAGUCCAUCCUCAGUGGGGUGUGCAGAUGAGACCACAGCCUUGGCCACCGUCCUCAUGGUAGCCUCAUGAGAGGACCAGAAGCAGAAGACCCAGCUCAGCAGUGUGCAGGAUCCUGACUCACAGAAACUGGGAGGUUUUUGGACAAGGCUGUGCCCUCAGAGGAUGCCUGGUGCAGGAAAGAGGCCUGCUGACCAUCAUAGGAGCCGGGCAACUUUCAGUCUGGACCUGGAUGACCCGCCAUAGUCAAACCACCUGGGAAGGGUUUGCCAGAUGGCUUGGGUCUUUCUGAGGUCCUGUACCGAGGAGGCGCGCAGAGAACUGGUGCAGCUUCAAAGCUCCUUUUUAAUCUUUAGCAAC